rnacentral:rRNA from 1 species
AGUGAACGCUGGCGGUAGGCCUAACACAUGCAAGUCGAACGGCAGCACAGUAAGAGCUUGCUCUUACGGGUGGCGAGUGGCGGACGGGUGAGGAAUACAUCGGAAUCUACUUUUUCGUGGGGGAUAACGUAGGGAAACUUACGCUAAUACCGCAUACGACCUACGGGUGAAGGCAGGGGAUCUUCGGACCUUGCGCGAUUGAAUGAGCCGAUGUCGGAUUAGCUAGUUGGCGGGGUAAAGGCCCACCAAGGCGACGAUCCGUAGCUGGUCUGAGAGGAUGAUCAGCCACACUGGAACUGAGACACGGUCCAGACUCCUACGGGAGGCAGCAGUGGGGAAUAUUGGACAAUGGGCGCAAGCCUGAUCCAGCCAUACCGCGUGGGUGAAGAAGGCCUUCGGGUUGUAAAGCCCUUUUGUUGGGAAAGAAAAGCAGCAGGUUAAUACCCCGCUGUUCUGACGGUACCCAAAGAAUAAGCACCGGCUAACUUCGCG